ensembl:lncRNA
CUUGCGACCGCGGGGCCGUCGGGAGCAGUACAAGCUACUUACAGGCGCCACAAGAAAGGAAUGCCGGAUUCCAGAACCGAAAGAAGUCCUACAAAAGGACACCAACCCAGGGGUCUUGCAUCAAACCAGAUCCCUGUACGACAAUUACACGGGUCGUUCAAAAUCCUUUGAGGUCCUAUGUUUCCAGAAGCAAGGUGAGUACAGUGUAUCACUCUGACACAGCUAACUUUGCACCUAAUGCUUACGGUUAGAUUCAUGCUUACACUUACAUUUCUAGGGUCCCAUAAUGGACUUCCAUUAGAACAAUUAAAAAUAGAAUUAUAGGAAAUGUUUUUGAACAACUAACUGCUGUACAUGAGUUUGUAUUUCUACAAUAGAAACAAAAGUUCCAGAACCAGAUGCAGACACACCCGGAGCCGAUAAACUGCCUCCGCCGAGCAAGGAGCAGUCACAUGAGGAGAUCAAAUAACGGCAGGAGUUGAAUUGGUUCUGUUUUGCUUGUCCACCAUAUAAAAAUGAUGUAUAUAUAUAUUGUUUAGAUAAAUUACAUGUAUCAUAAUCAGCAACACUUCGUUCAGUUUAACAGAUAAAGUUAAAAGGAAUAUGUAUAUAUAUGGAAAUGUUAUUGACAGAGCAAGGAGGGAUAAAUGCGAUAGGCACAACGUGUUGUAGGCCAACUUUAUCCCCAAUAACACAGCUCUGGAUGGGUUGCUGGCAUAAUUACAAUCCCUCAGGUUAGAAUUGGCAGAGAACUCCGGCAUUAAUGACCCUUUCACAGGUUGGAUGGAGAAUAUGUUUGG